UAUGAGACAGUAUGAAGAAGCAUGCAGGCUGUGGCAGAAAGGAGGUGUGCUUGGCUUUUCAACUCUUAAAAAUUAUGGUCCGCCCUUCGGUACAUGACUGAAGCCUGUCCUAAAAUGGGAAAAUUAUCCUUUGGUUAAGAAUGAUUUGAAUUCUUUUCUCCGUCAGAAGUUUGGAACUGAACGUGAAGGACACAGAUUUAACUCACAGCACUGCCAGAGAUUAAGAGAGCUAUCAUUUACAUGAAAACCAGAAGCCAGGGAAGCAGAUGCAGCACGAAGGAGCAUACGUGUGACAAAUCUCACUUGUGUCUGAAUUAAAGAGCAGUUCCUGGACUUAAAAUGCAAUGGCAGGCUGCAAAUAAAGGAAAUCUUCCAUUUGCCUUGGAUACUGAACCGGACCAGACAGCUGUAGUGCUCUCUCGAUGGUAGAACCCUCAGGACAGUUGAAAGGAAGGGAUGUACCACAGCAAUCUGUCAUCAGUGCAACUUCCAGCAAUCUUUGUAGCUAAAAGAGCACAGUGGAUUUUCUUUCUCCUCGUGAAUUUACCUAAUCACUUUCUAAAUCCUGUUUCAUGCAGUACUGUGAGAAUGAUAAUCUAAUUUUGGUCUCUAAGACAUGAAAUACAAAAACAAUAGGAGGCCCAGGAAAGAAUGAAGCCAUUUUGCCAACAGAUACUACAAAAACAUGCAACAAUUAUAGCACAUUGACGAAGAAAAUUACUAAAACCGCUCAUUACAAAAUAACCCAGCAUUUCCUGCUGUGAAAAUGAAUUUGUUACUUAGACCACUUCACUGUUUUUGAUAAAUCACCACCUGUAAUUGCUUUUCUAAGCUCGUGAUAAGGGUAUUUCUCUAUCUGGUGCCAUGAUGUCAAGUUGAAGUCAAGUACCUUUUCAACUGGUCCCAUUGUCUAGGGUUAAAUAGAAAACCUUUCCAAACUCUUCUUCACUCCAAGAUUUUUGUAUCAGUCAUGGAUGAGAAGAAAAAAGACAAAUGUCACCACUCUUUGCCUAGCUGUGAGAAAUUCACUGCCUGUGAAGUUAUGCUACUUGUUCUCUGCUACAAUACUAACUUUCAUGUAUUUUGCAAUCCCUGUCUAUCUCUGUUGUAAUUUCUUGCAAAGUGUUGAAAAUGUAAAGCUCUACACUCACAAUUGCCCCACAAUCUGAUUUACAAACUAAAAGAAUAUACCUGG
ensembl:lncRNA